GAUGAACGCUGGCGGCGUGCCUAAUACAUGCAAGUCGAGCGAACGGACGAGAAGCUUGCUUUUCUGAUGUUAGCGGCGGACGGGUGAGUAACACGUGGAUAACCUACCUAUAAGACUGGGAUGACUUCGGGAAACCGGAGCUAAUACCGGAUAAUAUUUUGAACCGCAUGGUUCAAAAGUGAAAGACGGUCUUGCUGUCACUUAUAGAUGGAUCCGCGCUGCAUUAGCUAGUUGGUAAGGUAACGGCUUACCAAGGCAACGAUGCAUAGCCGACCUGAGAGGGUGAUCGGCCACACGGGAACUGAGACACGGUCCAGACUCCUACGGGAGGCAGCAGUAGGGAAUCUUCCGCAAUGGGCGAAAGCCUGACGGAGCAACGCCGCGUGAGUGAUGAAGGUCUUCGGAUCGUAAAACUCUGUUAUUAGGGAAGAACAUAUGUGUAAGUAACUGUGCACAUCUUGACGGUACCUAAUCAGAAAGCCACGGCUAACUACGUG
rnacentral:rRNA from 1 species